UACGGAGGGUGCAAACGUUGCUCGGAAUCAUUGGGCGUAAAGCGCACGUAGGCGGCUUGUUAAGUCGGGUGUGAAAUCCCUGGGCUCAACCCAGGAAGUGCACUCGAAACUGGCGAGCUUGAAUAUGGAAGAGGGUCGCGGAAUUCCCGGUGUAGAGGUGAAAUUCGUAGAUAUCGGGAGGAACACCAGUGGCGAAGGCGGCGACCUGGGCCAAUAUUGACGCUGAGGUGCGAAAGCGUGGGGAGCAAACAGG
rnacentral:rRNA from 1 species